rnacentral:rRNA from 1 species
UCUCCUGGGAAACGGGUGGUAAUGCCGGAUGCUCCAGUUGAUCGCAUGGUCUUCUGGGAAAGCUUUCGCGGUAUGGGAUGGGGUCGCGUCCUAUCAGCUUGACGGCGGGGUAACGGCCCACCGUGGCUUCGACGGGUAGCCGGCCUGAGAGGGCGACCGGCCACAUUGGGACUGAGAUACGGCCCAGACUCCUACGGGAGGCAGCAGUGGGGAAUAUUGCACAAUGGGCGCAAGCCUGAUGCAGCGACGCCGCGUGAGGGAUGGAGGCCUUCGGGUUGUAAACCUCUUUUAUCGGGGAGCAAGCGAGAGUGAGUUUACCCGUUGAAUAAGCACCGGCUAACUACGUGCCAGCAGCCGCGGUAAUACGUAGGGUGCAAGCGUUAUCCGGAAUUAUUGGGCGUAAAGGGCUCGUAGGCGGUUCGUCGCGUCCGGUGUGAAAGUCCAUCGCUUAACGGUGGAUCCGCGCCGGGUACGGGCGGGCUUGAGUGCGGUAGGGGAGACUGGAAUUCCCGGUGUAACGGUGGAAUGUGUAGAUA